rnacentral:rRNA from 1 species
UACAGAGGUCCCAAGCGUUGUUCGGAUUCACUGGGCGUAAAGGGUGCGUAGGUGGUUGCGCAAGUCUGAUGUGAAAUCUCCGGGCUCAACCCGGAAAUGGCAUUGGAAACUGCGUGGCUAGAGGGUUGGAGGGGGGACUGGAAUACUUGGGUGUAGCAGUGAAAUGCGUAGAUAUCAAGUGGAACACCAGUGGCGAAGGCGAGUCCCUGGACAACACCUGACACUGAGGCACGAAAGCUAGGGGAGCAAACAGG